GCUGCCAGCCUGGACUCCUCAGGGCAGGGCCUGGCCAGUGGCCGGGGCAGAGGGCAGCAGGAGGCUGCAAGGCAGCAGGCAAGGAGACCGCAGGCUCAAGGGAGGAAGCCAAGGCUCAUGCCUUAGCCACUCUGCCUGGGGCCCUUCUGGACCUGGGCAACGAUGGAGUUCGGGAGCAGGACUUGGGCUCCGUAAUCUUCAGUAUAGCAGACAGGUUUGUUCAGGAGGGAACUGCACUCAUGCUAACCCAGAAAGAAUGAGCAUCUACUGAUGCCAGACCAGAUGAGGAAGACCUCUUCCUGCCUCAGUAUACAGACCAGUUUGUUCUCAUGGGAGGUGAAUCAUUGCUGCCCACUCUGCAUCCUUUGGGAACUGCAUGUGUCACUGGACACACAUGACUAGCCUCGCUACCUUUGUGUGCACAUUGUCCCAGGGCUGAUGAAGGAAGAGCUGUGGGAACCCUACAAUUAAAAACUUACUCUAAGUAAACAAUUGUUUAAGCUUGAGGAAGGUCUACAAGAAGUCAGAGCAUGUUGGAACAACAUCAUUUUGAUAUAUUUUCUUCCUGUUGGAAACGUGCCACAAGAAGAUACGUGCAGAGACUGACAGUCAUCCUUCAUGAGAAACCAAACUUGUUUUGGCAUUUGAAAAUAGCACUGCCUAUUGACACAGCAGCCAUGCUUAUCUUCCCUGUAGGAAGACUAUUUGUCAUUUUGUACAUCGAAAAGCAAAAGGCUCUGAUUCUACUGUCAGUGCUGACAUGAUAAAUCAGGAGUAACUGAAGAGCUGAGGGUGACUUUAGUGUAUUGCUCAGACAAAUGUACUUGAGAAAUCAACCUCAUAGACAUGGGUUUCUCUAGGCUAGGAUCAGCCCAUCUAGUUUAAGGAUGUAUAUGGUACAACCUCUGUGGUCAGUUAUCCAGCACUGUGGCAAGCCUGUGUUAUUUGAGUAGUAUCUUUUCUCCUGCUGGUCCAAGUAAAGCAGUGUUGGUAGCAUUGUUAUUUGCUGUAUUAUUCUGAGGCAGGAGAAAGGCAGUCCUGUUAAGUCCUGUUGACUGUUUUCCUGGAGAUAUGCCAAAGAGAGCUGCAGAAAGUGCAUGGGAUUGGUUGGAGGGUGCAGAGCCCUGGGUGAUGCUGGCUCACUUUAUGGGUUGACAUGCAAACUCACAAAUGGAGAACUGACACAAAUCCUCCUCUGCAUUGAGCCUGGAGUAACUAAUCCUGUUUGCAAGCUGGGGUGCAUUGUAACUUCUAAAAAGAGGCAAUUUAAAGCCUAGGGCUUUUAAAGCAUUGCAUUGUCUCCUGUCUUUUUUAUGGCAUUCUUUAAAAAACAAACAAACACAAUGAGCAAGAGAGAUGAGACUAGGAUAGGCUUUCAGUGCACAACACAGCCAACAGAAGACUGCUCCAGGAACUGUAACGUUUCAAUUUCCUAUUUUCUCUAUCUUUAAAUUAACUUCAGUUUUCUUAAGUAUAUUCAAUUAAAAAAAAAAAAAAAUACUGUUUGCAUAUAUCUUCCAGGCAAAGAUCCAGCACUCGAGCUGUGUUGGAAACAAGUACCAUUGUUAGGCUGGCUGGC